ACAUCAGGACAAACGCCAGCCUCGCCCGGUGGGAGGAGGCUCCCUCCAAGGGAACCAGAGGGAAGGGUUGGAGGUGAUUCUAAGCUGAGGAGGACUGAAAAUUCACCCUGUGUCAGGCCUUUGUGACUCGGCUUUUGUCGGGUUACUGUAAGAAGCUAUCACUCACACAAUAGCCUUUUGUUUUUGUGUGGAAAUCACCAUUCCUUCCGGGCCUGGGAGAAGUCACCAGGAGACCACACCUCCCUCCCUAAAAGGCCUGUUGGCAGAAGACAGCACAUGUGUGAGAGCAUCUGAAGAUCUUGUGGGGGAAGAGGAAAGCAUUGUAACAAUUCUCAAAUCACUCAGUAAGUGGGCCGGCCUGGGAGAGCGCCUUUCUGCAUUAGGCGGUUGUCCAGGUGAGACUUCAGCGGAAUAACUCUGAGUUUGAGAAGUGCAGUGUCUGAAUUUGGUAUGCGUGUUGCCCAGGUGACAGUGAAAGGCCACGCCUCUGUGGAUGGAAGUGAGUUUUUUCCUGAAGGGAUGGAUGGUCCCACGGUCAGUCACGCUGGGCAGAAACUAACCCCAGUUUCCAGCAGAGUUUUCAAAUGGCCAAAACGUCAUGGCUACUCUCGGGGGUGCUCCUGGAAGGUGGCGGAGGGCCUCCCGUCACACCUGGGACAGGCGGACAGGAAGAGCAGCCCCUCCUGGGACAGGAGGCCAGAGCGGCAGCAGCAGCAGAGGUCCCCAAAGGAGGAGACAGCGAUGGGGGAGAGAAUCCGGCCGCCACGCAGAAGGGAAGGGCCUCCCUAAAAGAGCAUGUGGAUACCUGCCAGGCAACUGGCAUCUAGAACCUGCCGGCGCUCCUGGCAUCCGGGCUCACAUUGGUACAGCGCUCCCUACUGUUGUUCCAAGUGAUUAGUUCGGUUAUUAUUUACUGCCCUCUGUGUCCUAAAUAAUAUUCUAAACGUGAUUCUGAGUUGCCUUCUCUCAGCAGAGCUCAUUUUGUGAAACAAGAAGGACUGUUCAAACCAAUCUUUUACUUGGCUGUAAGCUUCUGUUCAUCAAGUUCCAUUUUCACUCCUAGCACCUUUGCUACAAACAUCAUGCAGUGGCUCCGGUUGUAUUUCUAGGUGCGUUUGAGGAGACUCACUGGCCACACCACUGGUGAGUGGGCGAGUGGGCAGACCGGCACCUGGUGCACCCGUGGGCCAGGCAGCUGGGCUCAGUGGGCCAGGAGUCAGCCCGCCUCCUGGGGCCCUUGGCCCAGCUUCCUCCCAGACACGGAGAACUCUUCUUAGGGAUCCUGUUCGCUUUCUGCUGAAAACUGUACAACUCACCUGCAUUCCUGAAGUUUUGUAGUUUCGCAUAAAAUCACUUCCCAUUUUUGAUCCUU